GCUUACGGCCAUACCACCCUGAAUGCUCCCGAUCUCGACUGAUUUCUGAACCUAAGCAGCGUCAGGCCUGGUUAGUACUUGGAUGGGAGACCGCCUGGGAAUACCAGGUGCUGUAAGCU
rfam:Larimichthys crocea isolate SSNF unplaced genomic scaffold scaffold5807, whole genome shotgun sequence.